GACGAACGCUGGCGGCGUGCUUAACACAUGCAAGUCGAACGGAAAGGCCCUGCUUUUGUGGGGUGCUCGAGUGGCGAACGGGUGAGUAACACGUGAGUAACCUGCCCUUGACUUUGGGAUAACUUCAGGAAACUGGGGCUAAUACCGGAUAGGAGCUCCUGCUGCAUGGUGGGGGUUGGAAAGUUUCGGCGGUUGGGGAUGGACUCGCGGCUUAUCAGCUUGUUGGUGGGGUAGUGGCUUACCAAGGCUUUGACGGGUAGCCGGCCUGAGAGGGUGACCGGCCACAUUGGGACUGAGAUACGGCCCAGACUCCUACGGGAGGCAGGAGUGGGGAAUAUUGCACAAUGGGCGGAGGCCUGAUGCAGCAACGCCGCGUGCGGGAUGACGGCCUUCGGGUUGUAACCCGCUUUCGCCUGUGACGAAGCGUGAGUGACGGUAAUGGGUAAAGAAGCACCGGCUAACUACGUG
rnacentral:rRNA from 1 species